rnacentral:rRNA from 1 species
CAUAUCAAUAAGCGGAGGAAAAGAAACCAACAGGGAUUGCCUCAGUAACGGCGAGUGAAGCGGCAAGAGCUCAAAUUUGAAAUCUGGCGCCCCGCCGGCGUCCGAGUUGUAAUUUGGAGAGGCAUCUUCAGGAGGGGGCCCGGCCUAUGUUCCUUGGAACAGGGCGUCGCAGAGGGUGAGAAUCCCGUUCUUGGCCGGACAGCCCCUCCGGUGUGCAGUGUCUUCUACGAGUCGAGUUGUUUGGGAAUGCAGCUCAAAAUGGGUGGUAAAUUUCAUCUAAAGCUAAAUAUGGGCGAGAGACCGAUAGCGCACAAGUAGAGUGAUCGAAAGAUGAAAAGCACUUUGAAAAUAGAGUCAAACAGCACGUGAAAUUGUUGAAAGGGAAGCGCUUGAGACCAGACUCGGCCAUGGACUAACAGCUGUCCCUUCUGGGCGGUGCACUUGUCCUUGGCCGGGCCAGCAUCGGUUGGGACGGCGGGACAAAGGCUGGGGGAAUGUGACUCCCUUGAGGAGUGUUAUAGCCCCCGGCGCCAUGCCGCCCGCCCCGACCGAGGACCGCGCUCGGCUAGG